UCUAAUGGGGGCCAAACAAGUAUACAGACUGUUUCUAUCAAAUUCUACUCAGGUCACCGACCGUCCCUAGUGCAAGUGGUAAAGGGAUUGGUGGUUGGUACCCGAGACCCAAGUUCGAAUCCUAGUUGAUUCACAUUUCCAGCUAAGUUUAUUUUUAAAUGAAAUAAACGAAGCGGGUAGCGUGCUACCUAUCUGUCUCUCAAAAAAAAAAAAAAAAAAAUU
rnacentral:lncRNA from 1 species